rnacentral:rRNA from 1 species
CAGUCGCCGCGGUAAAACGGAGGGGGCUAGCGUUGUUCGGAAUUACUGGGCGUAAAGCGCACGUAGGCGGCUUGGUAAGUUAGAGGUGAAAGCCUGGAGCUCAACUCCAGAAUUGCCUUUAAGACUGCCGAGCUAGCAGGUGAGAGAGGUAAGUGGAAUUCCGAGUGUAGAGGUGAAAUUCGUAGAUAUUCGGAAGAACACCAGUGGCGAAGGCGGCUCACUGGCUCAUACUGGACGCUGAGGUGCGAAAGCGUGGGGAGCAAACAGGAUUAGAUACCCCCGUAGUCCCUGUCUCUUAUAC